GUAGGUGGCAAGCGUUAUCCGGAAUUAUUGGGCGUAAAGCGCGCGUAGGCGGUUUUUUAAGUCUGAUGUGAAAGCCCACGGCUCAACCUUGGAGGGUCAUUGGAAACUGGAAAACUUGAGUGCAGAAGAGGAAAGUGGAAUUCCAUGUGUAGCGGUGAAAUGCGCAGAGAUAUGGAGGAACACCAGUGGCGAAGGCGACUUUCUGGUCUGUAACUGACGCUGAUGUGCGAAAGCGUGGGGGGAUCAAACAGGAUUAGAUACCCUGGUAGUCCACGCCGUAAACGAUGAGUGCUAAGUGUUAGGGGGUUUUCCGCCCCGUUAGUGCUGCAGCUAACGCAUUAAGCACUCCGCCUGGGAGUACGACCGCAAGGUUG
rnacentral:rRNA from 1 species